rnacentral:rRNA from 4 species
AAAAGAAACCAACAGGGAUUGCCCCAGUAACGGCGAGUGAAGCGGCAACAGCUCAAAUUUGAAAUCUGGCCUUCGGGUCCGAGUUGUAAUUUGGAGAGGAUGCUUCUGGCAAGGCGCCGUCCGAGUUCCUUGGAACAGGACGCCGUAGAGGGUGAGAGCCCCGUACGGGCGGCCGCCGAGCCUCUGUGAAGCUCCUUCGACGAGUCGAGUAGUUUGGGAAUGCUGCUCAAAAUGGGAGGUAAAUUUCUUCUAAAGCUAAAUACCGGCCAGAGACCGAUAGCGCACAAGUAGAGUGAUCGAAAGAUGAAAAGCACUUUGAAAAGAGGGUUAAAAAGUACGUGAAAUUGUUGAAAGGGAAGCGCCUGUGACCAGACUUGCGGCCAGCGGAUCAUCCGGUGUUCUUCACCGGUGCGCUCCGCGGGCUGCAGGCCAGCAUCGGUUUUCCUGGGGGGACAAAGGUCGCGGGAACGUAGCUCUUUCGGGAGUGUUAUAGCCCGCGGCGUCAUGCCUCCGGGGGGACCGAGGA